UGGGGAAUUUUGGACAAUGGGCGCAAGCCUGAUCCAGCCAUUCCGCGUGCAGGAUGAAGGCCUUCGGGUUGUAAACUGCUUUUGUACGGAACGAAACGGUUCUCUCUAAUACAGGGGGCUAAUGACGGUACCGUAAGAAUAAGCACCGGCUAACUACGUGCCAGCAGCCGCGGUAAUACGUAGGGUGCAAGCGUUAAUCGGAAUUACUGGGCGUAAAGCGUGCGCAGGCGGUUUUGUAAGACAGAGGUGAAAUCCCCGGGCUCAACCUGGGAACUGCCUUUGUGACUGCAAGGCUGGAGUACGGCAGAGGGGGAUGGAAUUCCGCGUGUAGCAGUGAAAUGCGUAGAUAUGCGGAGGAACACCGAUGGCGAAGGCAAUCCCCUGGGCCUGUACUGACGCUCAUGCACGAAAGCGUGGGGAGCAAACA
rnacentral:rRNA from 1 species